rnacentral:misc_RNA from 1 species
GAACGCACCUUGCACCCUUUGGCAUUCCGAAGGGUAUGCUCGUUUGAGUGUCAUUGUACUCUCACACUCCCACUCUUUUGGAUUGGGAGCGGUGGACUUGGGUGUUGCUGCUUUACGGUGGCUCACCUCAAAUGGAGUAGUGCAACUCUCGGUUGGACAUAGUACGGCGUGAUAAGUAUCUUCGCCGGCGCCUCACUCGAGGGUGGCCGAUCGGGAGCUCUGUGCUUCAAACUGUCUUCGGACAAUCUCUGACAACUUGACCUCAAAUCGAGUAGGACUACCCACUGAACUUA